rnacentral:rRNA from 1 species
AACGAACGCUGGCGGCAUGCCUAACACAUGCAAGUCGAACGAGACCUUCGGGUCUAGUGGCGCACGGGUGCGUAACGCGUGGGAACCUGCCCUUAGGUUCGGAAUAACUCCCCGAAAGGGGUGCUAAUACCGGAUAAUGUCUUCGGACCAAAGAUUUAUCGCCUUUGGAUGGGCCCGCGUUGGAUUAGCUAGUUGGUAGGGUAAAAGCCUACCAAGGCGACGAUCCAUAGCUGGUCUGAGAGGAUGAUCAGCCACACUGGGACUGAGACACGGCCCAGACUCCUACGGGAUGCAGCAGUGGGGAAUAUUGGACAGCGGGCGGAAGCCUGAUCCAGCAAGGCCGCGUGAGUGAUGAAGGCCUUAGAGUUGUAAAGCUCUUUUACCCGGGAUGAUAAUGACAGUACCGGGAGAAUAAGCCCCGGCUAACUCCGUG